rnacentral:lncRNA from 1 species
CAGUUCGGGAUUCAAUCGGUGACUUGGGACACCAUUAAUCUCCCAAGUGGAGACUCUGAAUCUUAAUAAUAAAUCGCGUUCGGAUUGUCCUUUAAUUGAAAAACUCCUUAGCGCUCCCUUUGCGGGGUGUAUAGCAAAAAAUGAGGUGUGACACAUCCGUUCCAUUUGGAAACGAGAUACGAAUUCCCUGAGAAUCUCGUUAUCGUUUUAUCUCUCACUUUCUUGUAGCAACCUUAAUGGCUACGGUGUAUGCCUUUACAAAAGAAUCGGCAAGCAUAGUAAACGAAUUAAUAG